GCCAACGACCAUACCACGCUGAGAACAUCGGUUCUCGUCCGAUCGCCGAAAUUAAGCAGCGUAUUUAGAUGGGUGACCGCUUGAGAACACCGCGUGUUGUUGUUGGCA
rnacentral:rRNA from 1 species